rnacentral:rRNA from 1 species
GCUUCAGUCUGAUGCGUCGUGUAGUAGCACGCUGAGAGAGGAGCUUGCUCUUCUUGGAUGAGUUGCGAACGGGUGAGUAACGCGUAGGUAACCUGCCUUGUAGCGGGGGAUAACUAUUGGAAACGAUAGCUAAUACCGCAUAACAAUGGAUGACACAUGUCAUUUAUUUGAAAGGGGCAAUUGCUCCACUACAAGAUGGACCUGCGUUGUAUUAGCUAGUAGGUGAGGUAAUGGCUCACCUAGGCGACGAUACAUAGCCGACCUGAGAGGGUGAUCGGCCACACUGGGACUGAGACACGGCCCAGACUCCUACGGGAGGCAGCAGUAGGGAAUCUUCGGCAAUGGGGGCAACCCUGACCGAGCAACGCCGCGUGAGUGAAGAAGGUUUUCGGAUCGUAAAGCUCUGUUGUAAGUCAAGAACGGGUGUGAGAGUGGAAAGUUCACACUGUGACGGUAGCUUACCAGAAAGGGACGGCUAACUACGUGCCAGCAGCCGCGGUAAUACGUAGGUCCCGAGCGUUGUCCGGAUUUAUUGGGCGUAAAGCGAGCGCAGGCGGUUUGAUAAGUCUGAAGUUAAAGGCUGUGGCUCAACCAUAGUUCGCUUUGGAAACUGUCAAACUUGAGUGCAGAAGGGGAGAGUGGAAUUCCAUGUGUAGCGGUGAAAUGCGUAGAUAUAUGGAGGAACACCGGUGGCGAAAGCGGCUCUCUGGUCUGUAACUGACGCUGAGCUCGAAAGCGUGGGGAGCGAACAGGGAUUAGAUACCCUGGUAGUCCACGCCGUAACGAUGAGUGCCUAGGUGUUGGAUCCUUUCCGGGAUUCAGUGCCGCAGCCUACGGCAUUAGCACUCUCCGCCUGGGGAGUACGACCGCAAGGUUGAAACUCAAAGGAAUUGACGGGGGCCCGCACAAGCGGUGGAGCAUGUGGUUUAAUUCGAAGCAACGCGAAGAACCUUACCAGGUCUUGACAUCCCGAUGCUAUUUCUAGAGAUAGAAAGUUACUUCGGUACAUCGGUGACAGGUGGUGCAUGGUUGUCGUCAGCUCGUGUCGUGAGAUGUUGGGUUAAGUCCCGCAACGAGCGCAACCCCUAUUGUUAGUUGCCAUCAUUCAGUUGGGCACUCUAGCGAGACUGCCGGUAAUAAACCGGAGGAAGGUGGGGAUGACGUCAAAUCAUCAUGCCCCUUAUGACCUGGGCUACACACGUGCUACAAUGGUUGGUACAACGAGUUGCGAGUCGGUGACGGCGAGCUAAUCUCUUAAAGCCAAUCUCAGUUCGGAUUGUAGGCUGCAACUCGCCUACAUGAAGUCGGAAUCGCUAGUAAUCGCGGAUCAGCACGCCGCGGUGAAUACGUUCCCGGGCCUUGUACACACCGCCCGUCACACCACGAGAGUUUGUAACACCCGAAGUCGGUGAGGUAACCUUUUGGAGCCAGCCGCCUAAGGUGGGACAGAUGAUGGAGUGAAGUCGAACAGCAUUAUACC